GACGAACGCUGGCGGCGUGCUUAACACAUGCCAGUCGAACGAAGUGGCGAACGGGUGAGUAACGCGUAAUCAACCUGCCCUUCAGAUGUGGACAACAGUUGGAAACGACUGCUAAUACCGCAUACUGAUGUACGGGCUUGCGUCUGAUUUGCUAGUUGGCGGGGUAACGGCCCACCAAGGCGAGGAUCAGUAGCCGGUCUGAGAGGAUGAACGGCCACAUGGGGACUGAGACACGGCCCAGACGCCUACGGGAGGCAUCAGUGGGGAAUCUUCCGCAAUGGACGAAAGUCCGACGGAGCAACGCCGCGUGAGUGAUGACGGCCUUCGGGUUGUAAAGCUCUGUUAAUCGGGACGCGGGACCGGAAUAGAAAGCCACGGCUAACUACGUGCCAGCAGCCGCGGUAAUAC
rnacentral:rRNA from 1 species